rnacentral:lncRNA from 13 species
AUGAGGGAGCCUGGGGGGCGGCAGGGAUGUCUUUUCCGCUUUGUGCUCUUUGCUGUUUUUCUCAGGGAGGGGGAUACGUGGACAAAAGGACCAGGAAACCCAGGAAGGAGGUCCUGGGACAGCACCCUCACCCCCAGGGGAGGUCCGGCUUGGGGAAGGCAGCCCCGGGGCCUGGGAGGCCCGGACUGGGCCUGGGCUCCAGAGGGUAGGGCUAGUGCCCCGCGUCGCCUCGGCGUCCCGGAGCUAGGCCCAGGGUCCGUCGCUCGGAAAACGUCUGGGACCGCUGAACCCGGGUCCCUGCCCUCUCCUCUCCCGGCUUCAGAGCCUGGAAACCAACGAACCCGCCCGGAACAAAGGCGGGGCGGCUUUCCAAAGGCAAACAAGAGACAGUUUGUCUUUUCCCUCCCCCGCACCUCACCCCCGAACCGAGCGGGCGGCCCAGGGCAGGUCUGGGGGGUCCGGGUGGCCCUGACGCGGCGACUUGGCACCCCCGCGACGCCCGCGUGGCCCGGGCCCCGCUGCGCGUGCGCGGGUUGGGGCGCAGGAGGCCGCGGCCGCCCGCGCAGCCUCGCUCGGGCCGGUCUCCGUGGCAACGGGCUCGGGGGGAGGGGCCGAGCGGCUCGGGCUGUGGCGGCUGCUAUUUCUGCCGCUUCCUGUUCCUCGCGGCCACGUCGCCAUGGCAACAGUGUUACUCACCGCGGCCGCUUCCCGGCUCGGCUAGCGCGCGUGACCCCGGCCGCUCGCGCCCCCUCGUCUCUCACUUGCUGUGUUUUCCCCUCUUCCCCCGGGCGUCCUCCUCCUCCUGCACCCCCGGGCCCCCUAAGCAGCGCGCCCCGGUGCCCCCCACCCUUCCCCCUCCUCCCUGGUGCCCACGGCCCGAGAGGGAGGGGGAGGGAGAUUGAUGGGGGACGCUUAUUAAAAAACAUUGUAACCGUUUCCGUUUUUAUUACGUUGACAAGGGAGCGUUAUUUACUGUUAUUGUUUGCCGAGCGGGCCGAGCCUGAGCGCGGGCGACCCCCCGGGAGCUCACCUUCAGGCUGCGGCGGCCGGCGGGCGGGGGCCGGGGCGGGGCGCGGGCAGGGAGCGGUGGGCGGCCGCGCACCCCGGGGCUCUGCUCCUCGCCCCUUUCCCCGCCAGCCCGGUCGGGCCCCUCGGCGGGGCGCGUUGGCGCGGGGAGGGACUGCAGAGGCCCGGUGA